UCCGCCUGGGGAGUACGACCGCAAGGUUGAAACUCAAAGGAAUUGACGGGGGCCCGCACAAGCGGUGGAGCAUGUGGUUUAAUUCGAAGCAACGCGAAGAACCUUACCAGGUCUUGACAUCCUUUGACCACUCUAGAGAUAGAGCUUCCCCUUCGGGGGCAAAGUGACAGGUGGUGCAUGGUUGUCGUCAGCUCGUGUCGUGAGAUGUUGGGUUAAGUCCCGCAACGAGCGCAACCCUUAUUGUUAGUUGCCAUCAUUUAGUUGGGCACUCUAGCAAGACUGCCGGUGACAAACCGGAGGAAGGUGGGGAUGACGUCAAAUCAUCAUGCCCCUUAUGACCUGGGCUACACACGUGCUACAAUGGGAAGUACAACGAGUCGCAAAGUCGCGAGGCUAAGCUAAUCUCUUAAAGCUUCUCUCAGUUCGGAUUGUAGGCUGCAACUCGCCUACAUGAAGCCGGAAUCGCUAGUAAUCGCGGAUCAGCACGCCGCGGUGAAUACGUUCCCGGGCCUUGUACACACCGCCCGUCACACCACGAGAGUUUGUAACACCCGAAGUCGGUGAGGUAACCUUUUGGAGCCAGCCGCCUAAGGUGGGAUAGAUGAUUGGGGUGAAGUCGUAACAAGGUAGCCGUAUCGGAAGGUGCGGCUGGAUCACCUCCUUUCUAAGGAA
rnacentral:rRNA from 1 species